rnacentral:rRNA from 1 species
GACGCUGGCGGCGUGCUUAACACAUGCAAGUCGAACGGUAAGGCCCUUCGGGGUACACGAGUGGCGAACGGGUGAGUAACACGUGGGUGAUCUGCCCUGCACUUCGGGAUAAGCCUGGGAAACUGGGUCUAAUACCGGAUAGGACCAUGGACUUCACGGUUUGUGGUGGAAAGCUUUUGCGGUGUGGGAUGGGCCCGCGGCCUAUCAGCUUGUUGGUGGGGUAAUGGCCUACCAAGGCGACGACGGGUAGCCGGCCUGAGAGGGUGUCCGGCCACACUGGGACUGAGAUACGGCCCAGACUCCUACGGGAGGCAGCAGUGGGGAAUAUUGCACAAUGGGCGCAAGCCUGAUGCAGCGACGCCGCGUGAGGGAUGACGGCCUUCGGGUUGUAAACCUCUUUCAAUAGGGACGAAGCGCAAGUGACGGUACCUAUAGAAGAAGCACCGGCCAACUACGUG